rnacentral:rRNA from 1 species
GACGAACGCUGGCGGCGUGCUUAACACAUGCAAGUCGAACGGAAAGGCCCUGCUUUUGUGGGGUGCUCGAGUGGCGAACGGGUGAGUAACACGUGAGUAACCUGCCCUUGACUUUGGGAUAACUUCAGGAAACUGGGGCUAAUACCGGAUAGGAGCUCCUGCUGCAUGGUGGGGGUUGGAAAGUUUCGGCGGUUGGGGAUGGACUCGCGGCUUAUCAGCUUGUUGGUGGGGUAGUGGCUUACCAAGGCUUUGACGGGUAGCCGGCCUGAGAGGGUGACCGGCCACAUUGGGACUGAGAUACGGCACAGACUCCUACGGGAGGGAGCAGUGGAGAAUAGUGCACAAUGGGCGGAAGCCUGAUGCAGCAACGCCGCGUGCGGGAUGACGGCCUUCGGGUUGUAAACCGCUUUCGCCUGUGACGAAGCGUGAGUGACGGUAAUGGGUAAAGAAGCACCGGCUAACUACGUG